ensembl:lncRNA
AGAUAACUUCCUCUUCCCUACUGUAUUUGGCUCACAGCAGUAUUUAAGGGGUUGCAUGCUUCCUGUUUGUGCUUGGCUGUGUCCGACCCUCUGCGACCCCCUGGACUGCAGCCCUCCAGGCUCCUCUGUAUCUGUGGGAUUUCCCAGGCGGAUUCUUUACCAUCUGAGCCACCAGGGAAGCCCUGCUGCUGCUAAGUCGCUUCAGUCGUGUCCGACUGUGUGGGACCCCAUAGACGGCAGCCCACCAGGCUCCCCCGUCCCUGGGACUCUCCAGGCAAGAACACUGGAGUGGGCUGCCAUUUCCUUCUCCAAGAAAUCUUCCCAACACAGGGAUUGAACCCACAUCUCCUAUAUUUCAGGUGGAUUCUUUACCAUCUGAGCCACCAGGGAAGUCCUAGGAUGACUUUAAUUCCAAGUAAUUGAAAACCAAAUAAAA